rnacentral:rRNA from 1 species
GACGAACGCUGGCGGCGUGCUUAACACAUGCAAGUCGAACGGAAAGGCCCUGCUUUCGUGGGGUGCUCGAGUGGCGAACGGGUGAGUAACACGUGAGUAACCUGCCCUUGACUUUGGGAUAACUUCAGGAAACUGGGGCUAAUACCGGAUAGGAGCUCCUGCUGCAUGGUGGGGGUUGGAAAGUUUCGGCGGUUGGGGAUGGACUCGCGGCUUAUCAGCUUGUUGGUGGGGUAGUUGCUUACCAAGGCUGUGACGGGUAGCCGGCCUGAGAGGGUGACCGGCGACAUUGGGACUAAGAUACGGACCAGACUCCUACGGGAGGCAGCAGUGGGGAAUAUUGCACAAUGGGCGGAAGCCUGAUGCAGCAACGCCGCGUGCGGGAUGACGGCCUUCGGGGUGUAAACCGCUUUCGCCUGUGACGAAGCGUGAGUGACGGUAAUGGGUAAAGAAGCACCGGCUAACUACGUG